AGCCUUUAGCAAUACUAGUAUUAAAGGUCCUGCCUGCCCAGUGAAAAUUUUCAACGGCCGCGGUAUUCUAACCGUGCAAAGGUAGCGUAAUCACUUGUCUUCUAAAUAAAGACCAGUAUGAACGGCUGAAUGAGGAUAAACCUGUCUCCUACACCCUAUCAGUGAAACUGAUCUCCCAGUCCAAAAGCUGGAAUUCACCCACAAGACGAGAAGACCCUGUGGAGCUUAAAACCUAGUACCACUAGCCCAACAUAAACUAACUGGUAUCAGGUUUUAAGUUGGGGCGACUUCGGAACAAAACAAAACUUCCGAGCAAUGAACCACCACUUCUUACCAAGGCCAACAAGCCUAAACAAAUUGACCCAGUCAUACUGAUCAACGAACCAAGUUACCCCAGGGAUAACAGCGCUAUCUUCUUCAAGAGUCCAUAUCGACAAGAAGGUUUACGACCUCGAUGUUGGAUCAGGACACCCAAAUGGUGCAGCCGCUAUUAAAGGUUCGUUUGUUCAACGAUUAACAGUCCUACGU
rnacentral:rRNA from 1 species